AUUUCCUGCAUGGUCUUAUUCAUUCCACCUCCGGGAGAUGAUAAUUCGAAGGGCCACAGGAAGUUAUUUGCCUCUCUGAAGCAUUUUCCAACAGCAUAGAUCUUACGAAUCAGAUCCUCCGUGCAGAUGAUGCCAUAUUUACCAAGAGCUCGAGCAGUCAGUGAAUUAUCGUCAAGGCAGUUCACUUCUGGUUGAUUUUGUUAUAGCCGGCUUGUAUGUGAGUUCAUUUACUGACUUCACCUUUGGGCAUCCGCAUGCCAUAUAUGAUCCCACAAUCCUCAGCGUGUUAAAUGAAGCCUUGUGGAGCUUAACAAAGGUACCAUUGGGCAUUUGGCAAAGACAAAGAAAAAGCUGCCGAACCUUGUGGACUUUGGGGCUCACACCAUCGAUAUCCCUGAUCCGGAUGACAGAUGCCAAUUUGGGUUCUGCAGCCACAAUUGGUGAUAUGAUGCUUGCACAUCUCAGCUGUUUGGGAGGCUGAGACAGGAGGAUCAUGCCCAGCUUGAGGCCAGCCUGAGCAACAUGACAAG
rnacentral:lncRNA from 1 species